rnacentral:lncRNA from 1 species
CACACGCCCAGUCCGGCAACCGCACGGGAGGUCUCUCCCCCUAGACUGUGCUCCAUGGGGUGGACCCAGGCCUUGUGCUGUUUUUACUUAUAUCCCCCAUGGAGACCAGAGCUAGGCACAGAGUACAGCAGCACCCCAACUUUCAGCCGGUUACCCAUACAUCUCUCAUGUCAUUAAGAACAAUGAAACUAUAGCACACACACAUUCCAGUGGAAAAAAAUAAUUUUCAAAGUUCCCUGGAGUUCGUUGCAGUGGAAUCCAUGGCCCAGGAGGAAGAGGUUUAGUUCAGCCUGGAAGGAGGGCAUCCCAUCUGAGCCGAGACCUCUUUGAGGGUCCUUGUAUGUCACCUGCUGUCUGUCGCUGGUUCGCCUUCUGGCAUCUUUGAUACCUCCCCAGUCAGAGACCUCUGUUUGUGCCAAGAAGUCAUCUGCUGUGUCUUCAAACAAGACCGUAGGAGGCAGAGCCUCUGGUGCUGGCACAUCGCAGAAGCUAAUACCUCGUCACCAACGGAGUGAAGAGACCACGGCUUUCCCCUUUCCUUCCUGUAUUCCAGCUUGCAUGGAUGCCAGCAGAAUUCAAUCUAAAGUGGAAAGAGAAAAGUAAACAAACCUGAGAACUUUCUGGAUCUCUG